AACGAACGCUGGCGGCAUGCCUAACACAUGCAAGUCGAACGAGACCUUCGGGUCUAGUGGCGCACGGGUGCGUAACGCGUGGGAAUCUGCCCUUGGGUUCGGAAUAACUCAGAGAAAUUUGAGCUAAUACCGGAUGAUGACGAAAGUCCAAAGAUUUAUCGCCCAGGGAUGAGCCCGCGUAAGAUUAGCUCGUUGGUGGGGUAAUGGCCUACCAAGGCGACGAUCUUUAGCUGGUCUGAGAGGAUGAUCAGCCACACUGGGACUGAGACACGGCCCAGAAUCCUACGGGAGGCAGCAGUGGGGAAUAUUGGACAAUGGGCGAAAGCCUGAUCCAGCAAUGCCGCGUGAGUGAUGAAGGCCUUAGGGUUGUAAAGCUCUUUUACCAGGGAUGAUAAUGACAGUACCUGGAGAAUAAGCUCCGGCUAACUCCGUGCCAGCCGCCGCAGUAACAC
rnacentral:rRNA from 1 species